rnacentral:rRNA from 1 species
UACGUAGGGGGCAAGCGUUGUCCGGAAUCAUUGGGCGUAAAGCGCGCGUAGGCGGCCAGAUAAGUCCGGUGUGAAAGUCACAGGCUCAACCUGUGAAUGCCGCUGGAAACUGUCUGGCUUGAGUCCGGAAGGGGCGAGUGGAAUUCCUGGUGUAGCGGUGAAAUGCGCAGAUAUCAGGAAGAACACCCGUGGCGAAAGCGGCUCUCUGGAACGGUACUGACGCUGAGACGCGAAAGCGUGGGGAGCGAACAGG